rnacentral:rRNA from 1 species
UACGAAGGGGGCUAGCGUUGCUCGGAAUUACUGGGCGUAAAGGGCGCGUAGGCGGAUAUUUAAGUUGGGGGUGAAAUCCCGGGGCUCAACCUCGGAAUUGCCUUCAAAACUGGAUAUCUUGAGUUCGGGAGAGGUGAGUGGAACUCCGAGUGUAGAGGUGAAAUUCGUAGAUAUUGGGAAGAACACCGGUGGCGAAGGCGGCCAUCUGGACCGCAACUGACGCUGAGGCGCGAAAGCGUGGGGAGCAAACAGG